AACGAACGCUGGCGGCAGGCUUAACACAUGCAAGUCGAACGCAUCCUUCGGGGUGAGUGGCAGACGGGUGAGUAACGCGUGGGAACGUGCCCUUCAGUUCGGGAUAACCCAGGGAAACUUGGGCUAAUACCGGAUACGUGCGAGAGCAGAAAGAUUUAUCGCUGAAGGAUCGGCCCGCGUCUGAUUAGCUAGUUGGUGGGGUAAUGGCCCACCAAGGCGACGAUCAGUAGCUGGUCUAAGAGGAUGAUCAGCCACAUUGGGACUGAGACACGGCCCAAACUCCUACGGGAGGCAGCAGUGGGGAAUAUUGGACAAUGGGCGCAAGCCUGAUCCAGCCAUGCCGCGUGAGUGCUGAAGGCCUUAGGGUUGUAAAGCUCUUUCGUCCGGGACGAUAAUGACGGUACCGGAAGAAGAAGCCCCGGCUAACUUCGUGCCAGCAGCCGCCGUAA
rnacentral:rRNA from 1 species